rnacentral:lncRNA from 1 species
UUAUUAUUUUAUGAUAGUAUAGCAACGAGAAUAAUUUGUCGCAAAUUCAAUAACAAGUAAUUAAUUCAACGAAUAUUGUGCGACAAAAAAUAUGGUCGCAAAUUUAUCUAUCAAUAUAUACCAGCAAUCAUAUAUUAGCGACGAACAGUUUAAUCGCAGUUUCAACAAUCAAUCUAUAAGCAAUAUCUAUCCAUUAUUUAUAUGACAAUUUUUCACAUUUUACAAUUCAAAUUAUCACCAAACAUCAUAAUAAAUUAACAAACAAACCAAAAUAUAUUUCUAAUUCAAAGUAUCUUUAAAAUCCAAACAAACAAAAUAUUUUCAACUAAGAAUCUUUCUAGAAUAGUUAAUCUCGAUUAAUCAUUCCAAUACAUGAUCACUAAUAGUUUUUCAACAAAAACACCAACAUUCCAUUUUAAGAAAUUUUUGUAGUUGGCUUGCUCUGAUGUAGUCCUGUAAGGACUGAGAUUUUUGCAGUGU